rnacentral:ncRNA from 1 species
GGAACCGACCCGCCGGAGUCUGCCUGCAGGGGCCGGCUCCAAACACACCCGAGCAGCCUUGGCUGAAGACCAUGGUCGUGGGCGUAGGGGGAGAAGGCGCA